GACGUAGGGCGCGAGCGUUGUCCGGAUUUAUUGGGCGUAAAGAGCUCGUAGGCGGCUUGUCGCGUCGACUGUGAAAACCCGCGGCUCAACCGCGGGCCUGCAGCCGAUACGGGCAGGCUGGAGUUCGGUAGGGGAGACUGGAAUUCCUGGUGUAGCGGUGAAAUGCGCAGAUAUCAGGAGGAACACCAGUGGCGAAGGCGACUACCUGGCCUGUUUCUUGACGCUGAGGCGCGAAAGCUAGGGGAGCAAACGGG
rnacentral:rRNA from 1 species